rnacentral:rRNA from 1 species
UGAUCCAGCCUGCCGCGUGCUNGANGACGGCCCUAUGGGUUGUAAACUGCUUUUAUACAGGAAGAAACCUCCCCACGUGUGGGGAGCUGACGGUACUGUAAGAAUAAGGACCGGCUAACUCCGUGCCAGCAGCCGCGGUAAUAU